rnacentral:rRNA from 1 species
UACGUAGGGGGGCGAGCGUUGUCCGGAUUUAUUGGGCGUAAAGAGCUCGUAGGCGGUUUGGUAAGUCGGGUGUGAAAUCUCCACGCUCAACGUGGAGGGGCCACUCGAUACUGCCAUGACUCGAGUCCGGUAGAGGAGUGUGGAAUUCCCGGUGUAGCGGUGAAAUGCGCAGAUAUCGGGAGGAACACCCGUAGCGAAGGCG